UAUGCUUUUUUUAAAUGUAGUACUUCUGCAGCCAAUCAUUAUUCCAUGCUGUGUCUUUGCAUUCAUCGCACAAAAUGCUGAUGGAUGGUGUUGCAUGCUUUUUUUCAGUUUCCUGUGAGUUCGUCCCUAAUAUAUAGCACAUUGGUAUUCCACUUAGUCACUUACAAGGUUUCUUCUGAAAUAAUUGAAGUGUGGAAGAAGGGGAUGAUGUAGCAAGAACCAAGAAAGAGAUCUACUCUUCUGUGUCAUUUCAAUGGUCUCCCUGCUUGGAAGGAGGGUUUGGAUCAACCGGGUGGUUGCUUAUCAUCUCUGAACACCAGGUUCAUUCAACCUGAAGCUGGU